AUGGGUUUUCCGUCGAUUUUGGCAAUAUUCCAGCAAUAUCAUGGUGGGGGAAACCAGAUAUCGGCUUCAGACAUUUUAUCCAGGUGGGG